UGGUAUUUGACGUUGCAAUGGAAACACUUUCCCUUAUCAUCGGCCUUCUUUGAAACCUACUUCUUGGGCUUGGCCUCAUUCUUUUGCUUCUUCGCAGGCUUCUUCUUCUUCUUGAAAGAAGACCUUUUUUUGGAGGAAACCUACUCUACAGACAAAACUAUACCCUUUGAACUCUUCAAGGUGCCCUCUACUGUUAUCAGCAUGUUCAGUAAUUCAGGCAAAGUACUAUCGAUUUUAUUCAUAUGGUAGUUCAUAAUGAACUACUCAUAUGAAUU
rnacentral:lncRNA from 1 species